rnacentral:rRNA from 1 species
GAUGAACGCUGGCGGCGUGCCUAAUACAUGCAAGUCGAGCGAACGGACGAGGAGCUUGCUUCUCUGACGUUAGCGGCGGACGGGUGAGUAACACGUGGAUAACCUACCUAUAAGACUGGGAUAACUUCGGGAAACCGGAGCUAAUACCGGAUAAUAUCUUGAACCGCAUGGUUCAAUAGUGAAAGACGGUCUUGCUGUCACUUAUAGAUGGAUCCGCGCUGCAUUAGCUAGUUGGUAAGGUAACGGCUUACCAAGGCAACGAUGCGUAGCCGACCUGAGAGAGUGAUCGGCCACACUGGAACUGAGACACGGUCCAGACUCCUACGGGAGGCAGCAGUAGGGAAUCUUCCGCAAUGGGCGAAAGCCUGACGGAGCAACGCCGCGUGAGUGAUGAAGGUCUUCGGAUCGUAAAACUCUGUUAUUAGGGAAGAACAUAUGUGUAAGUAGCUGUGCACGUCUUGACGGUACCUAAUCAGAAAGCCACGGCUAACUACGUG